rnacentral:rRNA from 1 species
GGUAUACCAGCGUGUAGGUAGUUGCGCCGGGUCGUCCUUGAACGCCGGCUCAAUCCUACCUAGGUGCUCUUUACCGAGUGUCGAGGUAGGCCGACACUGUUUACUUUGAACAAAUUAGAGUGCUUAAAGCAGGCUCUUAAAUCAGCCUGAAUAGUGGUGCAUGGAAUAAUGGAAAAGGACCUUGGUUCUAUUUUGUUGGUUUUCGGAAUCCAAGGUAAUGAUCAAUAAGGACAGGCGGGGGCAUUCGUAUUGCGACGUUAGAGGUGAAAUUCUUGGAUCGUCGCAAGACGCACUAGAGCGAAAGCAUUUGCCAAGUAUGUCUUAAUUGAUCAAGAACGAAAGUUAGAGGCUCGAAGGCGAUCAG